AACGAACGCUGGCGGCAGGCUUAACACAUGCAAGUCGAACGCCCUCUUCGGAGGGAGUGGCAGACGGGUGAGUAACACGUGGGAACCUACCUAGGGGUACGGAAUAACUCGGGGAAACUCGUGCUAAUACCGUAUACGACCUUCGGGUGAAAGAUUUAUCGCCCCUAGAUGGGCCCGCGCUGGAUUAGCUAGUUAGUGGGGUAAAAGCCUACCAAGGCGACGAUCCAUAGCUGGUCUGAGAGGAUGAUCAGCCACACUGGGACUGAGACACGGCCCAGACUCCUACGGGAGGCAGCAGUGGGGAAUCUUGGACAAUGGGGGAAACCCUGAUCCAGCCAUGCCGCGUGAGUGAUGAAGGCCCUAGGGUUGUAAAGCUCUUUCGCCAGGGAAGAUAAUGACGGUACCUGGAUAAGAAGCCCCGGCUAACUCCGUGCCAGCAGCCGCGGUAAUACGGAGGGGGCUAGCGUUGUUCGGAAUUACUGGGCGUAAAGCGCACGUAGGCGGCUAUCCAAGUUGGGGGUGAAAUCCCUGGGCUUAACCCAGGAACUGCCUUCAAAACUGGAUGGCUAGAGUCCGAGAGAGGUGAGUGGAGUUUCCAGUGUAGAGGUGAAAUUCGU
rnacentral:rRNA from 1 species